rnacentral:rRNA from 1 species
GACGAACGCUGGCGGCGUGCUUAACACAUGCAAGUCGAACGGAAAGGCCCUGCUUUUGUGGGGUGCUCGAGUGGCGAACGGGUGAGUAACACGUGAGUAACCUGCCCUUUACUUUGGGAUAACUUCAGGAAACUGGGGCUAAUACCGGAUAGGAGCUCCUGCUGCAUGGUGGGGGUUGGAAAGUUUCGGCGGUUGGGGAUGGACUCGCGGCUUAUCAGCUUGUUGGUGGGGUAGUGGCUUACCAAGGCUUUGACGGGUAGCCGGCCUGAGAGGGUGACCGGCCACAUUGGGACUGAGAUACGGCCCAGACUCCUACGGGAGGCAGCAGUGGGGAAUAUUGCACAAUGGGCGGAAGCCUGAUGCAGCAACGCCGCGUGCGGGAUGACGGCCUUCGGGUUGUAAACCGCUUUCGCCUGUGACGAAGCGUGAGUGACGGUAAUGGGUAAAGAAGCGCCGGCUAACUACGUG